GCCCAGAUAGCUCAGUCGGUAGAGCAGAGGAUUGAAAAUCCUCGUGUCGCUGGUUCGAUUCCGGCUCUGGGCACCA
rnacentral:tRNA from 1 species